rnacentral:rRNA from 1 species
UGGGGAAUAUUGCACAAUGGGCGCAAGCCUGAUGCAGCCAUGCCGCGUGUAUGAAGAAGGCCUUCGGGUUGUAAAGUACUUUCAGUCGGGAGGAAGGUGGUAAGGUUAAUAACCUUAUCAAUUGACGUUACCGACAGAAGAAGCACCGGCUAACUCCGUGCCAGCAGCCGCGGUAAUACGGAGGGUGCAAGCGUUAAUCGGAAUUACUGGGCGUAAAGCGCACGCAGGCGGUUGAUUGAGUCAGAUGUGAAAUCCCCGGGCUUAACCCGGGAAUUGCAUCUGAUACUGGCAAGCUUGAGUCUCGUAGAGGGGGGUAGAAUUCCAGGUGUAGCGGUGAAAUGCGUAGAGAUCUGGAGGAAUACCGGUGGCGAAGGCGGCCCCCUGGACGAAGACUGACGCUCAGGUGCGAAAGCGUGGGGAGCAAACAGG